rnacentral:rRNA from 1 species
AGAGUUUGAUUAUGGCUCAGGAUGAACGCUAGCUACAGGCUUAACACAUGCAAGUCGAGGGGCAGCAUGAGAUUAGCUUGCUAAUCUUGAUGGCGACCGGCGCACGGGUGAGUAACGCGUAUCCAACCUUCCCCCUACUCAGGGAUAGCCCGGUGAAAACCGGAUUAACACCUGAUAGUUUCACUAGAUGGCAUCUGACGGUGAAUAAAGCUUUGCGGUAAGGGAUGGGGAUGCGUCUGAUUAGCUUGUUGGCGGGGUAACGGCCCACCAAGGCAACGAUCAGUAGGGGUUCUGAGAGGAAGGUCCCCCACAUUGGAACUGAGACACGGUCCAAACUCCUACGGGAGGCAGCAGUGAGGAAUAUUGGUCAAUGGGCGAGAGCCUGAACCAGCCAAGUAAGCGUGCAGGAAGACGGCCCUAUGGGUUGUAAACUGCUUUUGUACGGGAAUAAAGUCAGGGACGUGUCCCUGUUUGCAUGUACCGUAAGAAUAAGGACCGGCUAAUUCCGUGCCAGCCGCGGC